rnacentral:rRNA from 1 species
AGAUUGAACGCUGGCGGCAGGCCUAACACAUGCAAGUCGAGCGGCAGCACGGGUACUUGUACCUGGUGGCGAGCGGCGGACGGGUGAGUAAUGCCUAGGAAUCUGCCUGGUAGUGGGGGAUAACGCUCGGAAACGGACGCUAAUACCGCAUACGUCCUACGGGAGAAAGCAGGGGACCUUCGGGCCUUGCGCUAUCAGAUGAGCCUAGGUCGGAUUAGCUAGUUGGUGAGGUAAUGGCUCACCAAGGCGACGAUCCGUAACUGGUCUGAGAGGAUGAUCAGUCACACUGGAACUGAGACACGGUCCAGACUCCUACGGGAGGCAGCAGUGGGGAAUAUUGGACAAUGGGCGAAAGCCUGAUCCAGCCAUGCCGCGUGUGUGAAGAGGUCUUCGGAUUGUAAAGCUACUUUAAGGUGGAGGAAGGCGAAGUAAAUUAAUACUUUGUCUUGUUUUGUACGUUUACCGACUAAGAAAGUAAGACCGACCCGGACUUAAACUCUUAGUCG